GAGGGAGGGAGCAAGGCGGGAGGGGGCCGGAGCGGGGGCCGGGGGCCGGGCUGCGCGCCCGCCCGCUAGGAGAGCGCGCAGCGCGCGGCCAUAUGGGUUCAGUCAUUCACGGCGCGCUCUGAGUCAGGGCUCAGGAAUGCACGCGGGGCGAGCUCAUCUGCCACCCGGAGCCGAGCGGAAGCUGUUCCCUCCCACCGGCUGCAACCCAGACCGGCUCCGGGCCCGGCUUCCCCGCUCCCCGACCCGGUCCUUCACUUCGAGUUUAGUCCGCCGCGCCCCCGCCCCGCACAGACAGACCCCAGCAAACUACCCCGCAACUCUGUGCGGCAAGAGCCCCAACUUCGUCUCCUACCCCGAACAGAGAUGCCCCCGGGAGUGGGCCUCUCGGCGAAGUGACUGACGUUGCUUGGGUACCCGAGGGCCAGGCUACAGAAUGUCGGAAUUAGGCUCCGGACUAUCUCCUGACCAUGGCUUCAAACUGAGCCCUAAUUCUGUCUACAAACUGAACGUCUUAUCCAAGUCCCAGACUUACUUUUAACUUUGGCCAGCCUCACCUAUGACCCCUAAUCACCUGGAGACGAGGAUAACGGGUUCUCCGCUGAUGGACAUCCAUAUUGGCCCAGGCAGGAAAAGCAUAAAUUAGCAGCAUGUUUAAAACAAAUCUGACCAUUGACCAUUUAUUGGGUGGACACUCCAUUAUGUGGCGUGUUAAACUUUAUAAAACAUUUUCCCUUUUACUAAGCUUCCCCCUUCUCAGGGGUCUGCCCGACAGAGGGAGUUCCAAGUUGGAGUUUUGGAAGCCCAAGCUUGCAACACCUUUUAGCAAAUCUGGAGACCAAUGCAGUUUAAGCAUCCAAGGGCAUAGGUAUCUAGCAGAACUGCUCCAGCCUCAAGCUGUGACUGGAGUCAGGAAAGCUAAAAUUGUAUACUCAGACAGGGAACUCUAGACUUGGACACUUUGACACUGGUGUAGGAAACAUUGAGAGGAAAUCUGCAGAAGAGGAAGGUCACGCUGGUCAAUUCUAGUCCCUGCCUGCCAGCCCUUGGGUGACUUCGUCAGUCCUUCCAGGAUGAAGUGGGCAAGCUGCAGAGGAAAAGGCUCUCUUAAGCUCUUUUAACCAGAACCAUAAGGGUGACAUAAGAAAGGGCCACCCUCUUUUCUCAGCUCUCCUCAUGUCUGCGACUGUCUUCCCAAAUCCUUUGGGUCAUCCAUUGUUCCCUGCCAGUGCCAGGCGCCUUCUGUUCCAGAAGCUGCUUGUCCCAGACACAGGUCUUAAGACCAGAGGGCAUACCUCACUUUAUCAGAGAACAGUUAUGUAGAAAAUAGAAUCAUUUUAUAUGCACCAGAGGGAUAAUACACAGGAUAAUGGAAAGAGCCCUGAACUUGAAGUCAAAAGUCUCUGGUUCAGGUCCUAGCUGGAAUAGUGUAUUAACAGAUCUUGGGCAAUUAUAAACUUUAGCUUCCUUCUCUGUAAAAUAUCUUAGAUUACCAGCUGGAGAAGGUGAUUAUGAGAAAAGAGUUUUUAGUUAAGCUACUCAAUAUAAAUAUGAACUAUUAUUAUAUAAAUGAACCAAUCAAGAAUCUUUUCUUAAAGUAAAAAGAAAUAGAACUAUUAUUAUAUAAAUGAACCAAACAGGAAUCUUUUCUUAAAGUGAAUUAACUUCCUAAUUUACCUGCGAAAAUAUGGAUGCUCUUCUAUAAGGUUAUCUUAAAGUAAAGUAUGCCCCUUAAGUGGGGCCCAAGUAUCCAGCACAGGAAAGUAGCCAGAAAAAUCUGCCUGUCCUAGUCUACAGAAAUAUAUAACCAAUAAUCAUAAUGGGGAGUCUCUCUACACACCACAGAGACAUCAUUCCACAAACCAGGAACUAUCUCCUGGCGCCACUGAGACAGUAUGUCUAUGCAUUAUAAAGAUAUUAUUAUGUGUGGAAAUAUGUAUAGAAGAAUUGCACAUGUUUAACAUAUAUUGGAUGGCUUGCUGUCUUGGGAAGGGAGGUGGGAGGAGGGAAGAUAGAAAGGUUUCAAGCAUGAGGUUUUGCAGGGAUGGAUGUUGAGAACUAUCUUUGUAUUUUGAAAAUAAAAAAAGCUAUUUUUAAAAAAG